GAUGAACGCUGGCGGCGUGCCUAAUACAUGCAAGUCGAGCGAACAGACGAGGAGCUUGCUCCUCUGACGUUAGCGGCGGACGGGUGAGUAACACGUGGAUAACCUACCUAUAAGACUGGGAUAACUUCGGGAAACCGGAGCUAAUACCGGAUAAUAUAUUGAACCGCAUGGUUCAAUAGUGAAAGACGGUUUUGCUGUCACUUAUAGAUGGAUCCGCGCCGCAUUAGCUAGUUGGUAAGGUAACGGCUUACCAAGGCAACGAUGCGUAGCCGACCUGAGAGAGUGAUCGGCCACACUGGAACUGAGACACGGUCCAGACUCCUACGGGAGGCAGCAGUAGGGAAUCUUCCGCAAUGGGCGAAAGCCUGACGGAGCAACGCCGCGUGAGUGAUGAAGGUCUUCGGAUCGGAAAACUCUGUUAUUAGGGAAGAACAAAUGUGUAAGUAAAUAUGCACGUCUUGACGGUACCUAAUCAGAAAGCCACGGCUAACUACGUG
rnacentral:rRNA from 1 species